GGGUUUGGGACCAGCAUGUGUGGUUGCCCUCAGCUUCUGACGAGUUCUUGAGUCGCUCGGCCAAUAGCAGCUUCUUCAUGGGGGCUAUUGUUUUUGAGCCGUUCAGGAGGAUCUGGAAGACCUGGGCACCGUCGCGUGCCAAGUUCUUUUUAUGGUUGGCCACGCUAAACAGAUGUUGGAUGGCGGACCGUCUUGCGCGUCGCGGGCUGCAACACCCCCUUCGCUGUCCUCUUUGCGAUCAGGCAGAGGAAACGGUCCAACACUUGCUCACGGACUGUGUGUUCGCCAGAGAGGUGUGGUUCAAGGCGCUCCAGCGUGUGGGCCUGCAGACUUUGGCAUUGGAUGGGUACGAGACUGUUUUCCAGGAUUGGUGGCGGCUUGCGCAGAUCAGAGUUCCCAAGAGAGUUCGUAAGGGUCUUAAUUCUUUAGUGAUCCUUGUAGCCUGACUAAUUUAGAAGCACCGUAACCGGUGUGUCUUCGAUGGCAUUCGACCAGGGGUAGCGAUGCUCCUACAGGAGAUCUAUGAGGAGGCUAGUCGCUGGGGAGCGGCCGGCGCGAAGGGGUUACGCUUGUUGUUAGCUUGAGUGUUUUGUAAUAAAAUACUAACCCGGCCCUUGGUACGGCGACGUAACUUGGUUCUUUCAAUGUUGAGAUAGCUUGCAUCAAUCGCUGGUAUUUGUAAGUGCAACUCAUCCCUAUUUUGCUUCCUUUGAGAUCAGUUCCUGUUUGUUUGUUUAUUUUUUCCUCUGUUGCAUCAUUUCAUAGUUGCCUUGCUUCACUGCCUAUCAACGAACAAGGGCUAAUCUUUAUGAUUAUCAUGUACAUAUUUGGCAUAUAUAUUGAGUUCUUGACAUAUCUCAAGUUGCCAACAUUGCCGAAACCCCUGCUAUGAAUAAUAAAUGGCGAAAAGUUUCGACAUUCCAGAGACUAUAGCCUACACAAAAGGUUUCUAAAAUGUUACUCUCACUGUCUGUCAGUUCGAAAUUAUUGCUAGCACUCAAUUUCAUUAUCUACAGUAUCAAUCAUUUUCACUUUUUUUGCUUCAUCUCACAACCGUUUCCGUUUUUUCACAGCUAUGUGGAGAUAGAGAUAGCGCCCAUGCCAAAUGUUUUUAGUAUUUGGAUUAUUUGAAUUUCUAUGUGGACAUCGUCUAUAUCUAUCACGCCUGGUGGGCAUGCACAAAUAUGUAUAUAACCAUGGGUCAUAUAUAGGUGAAAUUUUUUAAAUUUGAAGUGAGAUCAAGAAAGGUCCCUCCUUUCAGCAAAUUAUCCAAUGGACAACAUGGACUUUGGUUUCUGCAAAUGCUAUGCGUAGCUGGGUAAUAUGUGAAGUACCGUGAUGUUUCCAAGGCUAUUUUGUCAUGCUUUCAUAACAGCUCAGUGAGAGGAGGGAUUUAAUUUUAGAAUUAGAAUUAGAUUUGAUUUGGAAUUGGAUCUGGAUUUGAAAUUGUGGAUUUAUAUUAGAGAUAGAUCUGGAAUUGAAUUAGGGAUAGAUUUAGGCUAGAGAUUUGAUUUGAAUUCGAAUUAGAUUCAAAUUCAAAUCAGCACACAAAGAGCCAAAACACCAAGAAAACCAAAAUGCACAUGCUCAAAUUAAAUGCAGGGUUUGAAUUUGAAAUUCUGAAUUCGGGGUGAGUUUGAGUUACUUAACCCAAUAUGUAAAUGUAUUGGCCGAUUCGGAAGAGGAGGAAUCAAAGAAGAGUGCUGGCGGUGGCGCCGCGGCGAAGUGCCUCUCGGACACAUCUACGGAGUCGUUUCAGAGCUGGGCUUCCACUAGCAAGACUGGGAGCUUAGUUUGUGCAGGGCAGGCAGAGCUGCGUGUGGGUGACUCCGAUCACUGGUGAGCUUCUUGAAAUUGUUCGUCAAUUUGUUCGCUGCACCUAGUAAGCUUCAUUGCUCAAUUGAUGGUUGUAAAACGCAUCAGAUCUGAUUGAGAUGAUCUGAAAUCUUCGCCCAUUCUGAAUGUUUGCCCAGUCAUUGUCAAUUUUCAUUCUGUAAGAUUUUGUGAUGCAAUGCAAUUGCAAGUAAGGGUCCAACUGCUGCCACGUUCUUUCUCCAUUAGAGGACCAUUUUCCUGGUUCAGAAUUGUAUCCUGUUUCUUGCUGACCUGCACAAUACUAAGCAAAAUGAUUAUAUCUUUGACAUGUGUGUAAUCUACAGUUUCGUUUACUCUUGUUGUGCUGAUUAGUUAACUAGCACUAGUUAAUAAUCAUGGGGCUCUGUUCACAGUAAAACUUGGGGGAGAAGGCAACAUUGUUAAGCUGAAAAUUGCAGAGCAGGUAUCAAGGUGGAACUACGCAAGACAUUAUUCAGGCACACCAUGCCAUAUAUGCUUUUGUUUUACAUUGAUACAUGUGAUGCUUUCACUUGCUUUACUAAUUACGUAGAUAUAUCUUGUGAUAUGUCAUGAAUCAAACUGAGCUAUUGGGUUUUGACUGCCUCUUUAAUAUCUUUACUACAGAUCCUUGCAGUGUCACUUCUCAUGAUUUCUGUUCCCUUUGUCUGAAAAAGGGGUUAUUUGGGUUCAUUGGUUUUUAAUGUGCACCAAUUGGCAGGAUACUGUUUGAGCCACCUGUCCUAUCUAGUGCAUUAGUUGAGCUUAUAUGGCCUGAAGGUACUCAACAGAAGACACAUCUGCAGGGAAAUGUUUCAUGGACUUUAACCCUGCUUCUGCCUCUAAGAUGAAUGAGAAGAAGCUUGUGACACCACGCAGCACUGCCAGCUCUCACUUGUCAGAGAAAAAAGUUCAGAGCAAUCGUUGAAAAUGCUCGACAGAUAAAGGUUUUGGAGAAACAAAGGACACUCAGGUACUCAGCCACAUACAUAGAAUUACUUUGUUCUUAGUUUGUUUGGAUUUAGCUGUUUCUGUUGUGAUGGUCUGGAAAAAUCUUUACCUUAAAACCUUAUUAUUAAUUUCAAGUAGGGCCUGACCAGUGCCUUGAGGAAGAUGUGCACUGCUUUAUACUGAGCAUAAACGAAUUGAGUAUGAGUCCCUUCAUCUGCUAUCUGGGGUUGGUCACGGCAUGAUCUCGAAAUGGCACUUUCUUUUUGUGAGCUGCAUUGGACUGGACCCAUCAAGUUGAUGCAUGGAAGCCUUUUGUUUUCAAGGUUCAGAGAUUUGAUCUAGGAUAUAUGGCAUUUGUGAUCUUGUGGAAACAGAAGAUUUACUGGAAUAUAUAUCCUGUGUUGAGCCAUUAUUCACUACCUUAAUCGAAACUUAUUCAUUCAUUCAGUCAAUGAUAUGGACUGUAUAAAUUCCACAU